rnacentral:rRNA from 1 species
UACGUAGGUGGCGAGCGUUGUCCGGAUUUACUGGGCGUAAAGGGCGUGCAGGCGGUCUGUUAAGUCUAGGGUGAAAGCUCCCGGCUCAACUGGGAGAGGUCCUUGGAUACUGGCGGACUUGAGGGAGGCAGAGGAGAAUGGAAUUCCCGGUGUAGUGGUGAUAUGCGUAGAUAUCGGGAGGAACACCAGUGGCGAAGGCGGUUCUCUGGGCUGACACUGACGCUCAUGCACGAAAGCGUGGGGAGCAAACAGG